rnacentral:lncRNA from 1 species
GCCUCCCGAAGCACUGGGAUUACAGAACAGUUUGCUGAUGCUUGCCCUCAAAGAUGGCAGAUCCACAGAUAGAAGGAGCCUGGUUUGUGAGUAGCAGCAUCGGAAGCUCAACAUGGAUGGCUGCUGGGAAUCUCCACGUGGGACUCUUCAUAAGGGAGAAAUCAACAGUUAGCACAGUCAUGGAAGACAGUCAAAUGGGUACUCAGCAAGUACCUUCCCAAGCUCCCUUGCAGGGAUGGUGGUCAUGUGACACAGAUCUGACCAAUGAGAUGUGAGCAUUGCUCUCCUCUCCCAGUGCAUUACCAGAAAUGGGAUCACAUUUGCAGAGCUGCACAGAGGGAUGCUUCAAGGAGAGGGGACGAUACUCGUCCAGGAUCUGGGAUUCCCAAACAUCCUUCUGGUCAGCCAGUAUAUGGAGCCGUUGUUAAGCUUUGGAAUCAGACUUCCUAGCAUGAGAACAGACGAAUACACUAACUAAUGGAGGAAUGACUUGAUUCAGAAAUGUAAAGAAAUGGGACGGCUUGCACCUCAG